rnacentral:lncRNA from 13 species
CAACUCCGAAAUGCCUACCUAUAGACUGAGUUUAUGGAAUACAUUUCCUUCAUUGAGUGAAACUUUCCUAACAUCUCAUUAGGAAGUUUGGAAGACCUGUUCCAGUCAAGAUCAAAGACCAUUGCUUCAGUAAGACUAUCUGAUUUGAAGGACAUGUUACCAUCCACAAGCAGGACAUCUCUGCAUUUCUAAGCUACUGUCCUGGUAGUCUACUUGGAUCUGUGAAAUGUAAAAAAGUUAACCCCAAAAUGGAAGGUGAUGGAACGAAUACAUUCACUCUGACCCAACUUUGUCCAGGCUGAGAGGCUGCUGGUCAAGGGCCAAGUUUCCAUUGGCUUCAUUCGGAGCAAGAGUAAACAUUACAGCUUCUCUUUCAAGGCUCAUCCCACUGCCCGGGGCCAAAGGAGAAAGCUG